GGGCUGCAGGAGGACAGACAGGGUGAGCCGGGCCGGGCCAGUGGCAUUAUGGGUAACGCAGUUCCACUCACUCACCUGAGUUGAAGUAGUGUCUGUACUUAUACACCAGGACAGUAGUAGCAGUCAGAGUCACACUGAGCAGAACCAGCAGAACGAUGACCCAGGGAGGAAACGGCUCUGUGGAAACACACCGGCGGACCAGUCAAAGUAACACAGCGUGACCACGACCUGGAGAGACUACAAACAUGGACCAGUCAAAGUAACACAACCAGCAGAAAUUACAAACAUGGACCAGUCAAAGUAACACAGCAUGACCACGACCUGGAGAGACUACAAACAUGGACCAGUCAAAGUAACACAACCAGCAGAAAUUACAAACAUGGACCAGUCAAAGUAACACAGCGUGAUCAUCAUGCUGUGACCAUGACCGUUCUGAAAUGUAUUUGCCAGUACAGUUUGUGAAAAGCGGCAUGAACUAGAACUUAGUUAUGAGAUACUAGAGGAAGCUUGAUGUUGAAACUUUACUUCUGCAGCCUGCAGUGUCGGAUAUUGUGGAGGGACAGGAAGUUGUCAGAGCUCGAUGCUUCAGAUCCAUGAAGAAAGAUGAGGAACCGCACAAGCUGCAGAUAUCACUGGAUGUUGGAAAAGAAAAGGCUGAAUUAUUGGAUUAUUCCUGUAGCUGUGCAGCUGGUAAAGGUUUUUGCAAUCAUAUAGUUGAACUUCUUUACCAAACUGCACACUACUCCCAACUCCAGCUGCCAACUGAUCCUCCUGCACAACUGAUUUACUAAGAUGGUACAAACCAAGAACACAGGACGACUUCCAGAUCCCGACAUUCUGGCAUCAGGAGAAAAACUACGCCAGCUGGAGUCCCAAAAACUUAUGGCUCUGGUCCUGGAUGGUCUUUCAAAUCUGGAGCUGGUUC